UACGUAGGUGGCAAGCGUUGUCCGGAAUUACUGGGCGUAAAGCGUGCGCAGGCGGUUUUGUAAGUCUGUCGUGAAAGCCCCGGGCUCAACCUGGGAAUUGCGAUGGAGACUGCAAGGCUUGAAUCUGGCAGAGGGGGGUAGAAUUCCACGUGUAGCAGUGAAAUGCGUAGAGAUGUGGAGGAACACCGAUGGCGAAGGCAGCCCCCUGGGCUAACACUGACGCUCAUGCACGAAAGCGUGGGGAGCGAACAGG
rnacentral:rRNA from 1 species